CCCGCUGAACUUAAGCAUAUCAAUAAGCGGAGGAAAAGAAACCAACAGGGAUUGCCUCAGUAACGGCGAGUGAAGCGGCAACAGCUCAAAUUUGAAAUCUGGUUCCUUCCAGGAGCCCGAGUUGUAAUUUGUAGAGGAUGUCUUCGGGUCUGGCCCCGGCCUAAGUUCCUUGGAACAGGACGUCACAGAGGGUGAGAAUCCCGUAUGUGGCUGGAGGUCUAUUCCCAUGUGAAGCUCCUUCGACGAGUCGAGUUGUUUGGGAAUGCAGCUCAAAAUGGGUGGUAAGUUUCAUCUAAAGCCAAAUAUUGGCGAGAGACCGAUAGCGAACAAGUACCGUGAGGGAAAGAUGAAAAGAACUUUGGAAAGAGAGUUAAACAGUACGUGAAAUUGUUGAAAGGGAAACGCUUGAAGUCAGUCGCGUCGGCUUGGGGGAUCAACCUUGCAUUCAUUUGCUGGGCGUACUUCCCUAGUCGAUGGGUCAGCAUCAAUUUUGAUCGUUGGAUAAAGGUCUGGGGAAUGUGGCAUCUUCGGAUGUGUUAUAGCCCUUGGUCGGAUACAACGGUUGGGAUUGAGGAACUCAGCACGCCGCAAGGCCGGGUCUUCGGACCACGUAACGUGCUUAGGAUGCUGGCAUAAUGGCUUUAAUCGACCCGUCUUGAAACACGG
rnacentral:rRNA from 1 species